GAAUUUUGGACAAUGGGCGCAAGCCUGAUCCAGCAAUGCCGCGUGCAGGAAGAAGGCCUUCGGGUUGUAAACUGCUUUUGUACGGAACGAAAAGGCUCUGGCUAAUACCCGGGGCUCAUGACGGUACCCUAAGAAUAAGCACCCGCUAACUACGUGCCAGCCGCCGCGGUAAGACGUAGGGUGCAAGCGUUAAUCGGAAUUACUGGGCGUAAAGCGUGCGCAGGCGGUUUUGUAAGACAGGCGUGAAAUCCCCGGGCUCAACCUGGGAAUUGCGCUUGUGACUGCAAGGCUGGAGUGCGGCAGAGGGGGAUGGAAUUCCGCGUGUAGCAGUGAAAUGCGUAGAUAUGCGGAGGAACACCGAUGGCGAAGGCAAUCCCCUGGGCCUGCACUGACGCUCAUGCACGAAAGCGUGGGGAGCAAACAGG
rnacentral:rRNA from 1 species